CGGGCGCGGCGCCGGUCUAAGUUCCUUGGAACGGGGCGUCAUAGAGGGUGAGAAUCCCGUCUGUGAUCGGCGACCAAGCCCAUGUGAAACUCCUUCGACGAGUCGAGUUGUUUGGGAAUGCAGCUCAAAAUGGGUGGUAAAUUUCAUCUAAAGCUAAAUACUGGCCAGAGACCGAUAGCGCACAAGUAGAGUGAUCGAAAGAUGAAAAGCACUUUGGAAAGAGAGUCAAAAAGUACGUGAAAUUGUUGAAAGGGAAGCGCUUGCAACCAGACCUGCCCGCGGGCGAUCAACCGUCCCUCUGGGGCGGUGCACGCGCCCGCGAACAGGCCAGCAUCGGUUCGGGCGGCCGGAUAAAGGCCUUGGGAACGUAGCUCCCCUCGGGGAGUGUUAUAGCCCUCGGUGCAAUGCGGCCAGCCUGGACCGAGGACCGCGCUUCGGCUAGGAUGCUGGCGUAAUGGUUGUAAGCGGCCCGUCUUGAAACACGGACCAAGGAGUCUAACAUUUAUGCGAGUGUUUGGGUGUUAAAUCCAUACGCGUAAUGAAAGUGAACGGAGGUAGGAACCCUUUAGGGGGCACUAUCGACCGAUCCUGAUGUCUUCGGAUGGAUUUGAGUACGAGCAUAACUGUUGGGACCCGAAAGAUGGUGAACUAUGCCUGAAUAGGGUGAAGCCAGAGGAAACUCUGGUGGAGGCUCGCAGCGGUUCUGACGUGCAAAUCGAUCGUCAAAUUUGGGUAUAGGGGC
rnacentral:rRNA from 1 species